UAGUCAUACGCUUGUCUAAAAGACUAAGCCAUGCAUGUCUAAGUAUAAGCUUUUAUACGGCGAAACUGCGAAUGGCUCAUUAUAACAGUUAUAAUUUAUUCGGUGAUGAAAUCUACAUGGAUAACCGUGGUAAUUCUAGAGCUAAUACAUGCUAAAAGGCCUUAACAGGUUGCAGUUAUUAGACUUAGAACUUUCUUUUUGGUGAUUCAUAGUAACUUUGCGAAUCGUUUUGAUAGACCGUAUAAGUUUCUGACCUAUCAGCUUUUGACGGUAAGGUAUUGGCUUACCGUGGCAUUCACGGGUAACGGGGAAUUAGGGUUCGAUUCCGGAGAGGGAGCCUGAGAGACGGCUACCACAUCUAAGGAUGGCAGCAGGCGCGCAAAUUACCCAAUCCUGAUACAGGGAGGUAGUGACAAGAAAUAACGAAGCAGGACACAUUGUGAUUCUGCUGUUGGAAUGAGUGGGUUUUAAAAAUCCUCACGAGUAACAAUUGGAGGA
rnacentral:rRNA from 1 species